rnacentral:tRNA from 7 species
GUAGCUCAGUUGGUUAGAGCACAUCACUCAUAAUGAUGGGGUCACAGGUUCGAAUCCCGUC